rnacentral:lncRNA from 1 species
UAUGUGGUCAAGGGAUGAAUGGUGAUGUAGAAGAAGUGAGGGCAUGUCGUGAGUGCUUGGUCGGGUUGGUAGUGGUUGUAUUCGGAAACUCCUCCAUGAGAUAGAAUGGUUAAUCUAUGAUCAAGAGCAGAGUGAGCAGGGUGAUAGAGUAAGGGGUUAGAAUCAAGUGUACUACUACAUUUAAGGUAUACAUGAAUGGUAAAGGCAGGAGGAUAAAGGUUGAGGGGUGUACUUUCUUAGUGCAUGUUUCCUGCUGGUUGAUUUCUUUAUAUUAUGCGGUGGGCAUCGAGUUGACCGAUAAUGCCUACCAGUACGUGUGGUUUGUGCUAAUACUACUCUUGUUAUGCCUUUUGACAUAGUUUGGUUGCAGGGUCAUUGAUGUUUCAUAGGUGUAGACGAAGACAAUCUCCAACAACUUCUACUCUUCCUUCCCUAUGGUGGAAGUUGUGUCAUUAGCUACUGUAUUUUAUACCCUAUAAUCUUAGAAGCUCUUGUACCUGUUUAGACUAGAUCUCUGGGGGCAUUAAACUUAGUUUACAAAUUUAACUUUGGAUUGUUUAAACUGUUAUCUACUUAACGAUCACAUGAAUUUCCUUUUAUCUCCAAUUUUCUUAAUUUUCCGCAUGUUUUUAACCGUUUGGGGGAUCAAGGGUCCUCCUACUUAGGUGUUAGAGUAGGUGCUCGCACG